UGACAACAAAAUACCAUCAAUUGUGUAUCAGUGGCAAUGAAUGUCGUUACAUUGAUCAUUAUUGAAAUAGCCAUGUGACAAUACAUCAAAUAGAAAUAUUUUUCUUCGUCAACGAAAUAUUCUCCGAGGACAGCAUAAAAGAACACCAGUUUUGUAAUCCUACUUGUAUAUCCUAAAGUAUAUAUUCUUCCCAAAUGGGCAAACCUCUUCAUAAUAUCAAUCUCUUCCUUAGACUUCCACAUAUUCCAAUCUAUUAUCAUAUCAUCAAUAAGCGAUUUAACCUACGUACUUGAACGAUAGCAUCGGUAUAUUCAUGAGAAAAACACGGCUUAAACGAGAUUUUUCAUAUGGCCAUAAACCAAGGAAGGAUAAUAGACGAUAAUUAAUUUUAUAAAAACGAUUCUUGAAGAUAUCCAUAUCGUUAAGAGAAUGUAAGAGAGACUGAAUGAUAUUUUUUUAUAAUGUCAGAGGGAAAUUUUACAUCGCGUAAAAUAUUCAACAAGACUUCAAUCAUUGAGUAUGACAGGCGUUACGAGAAAUAGAUUUCUCUUAGAGGUAUUAUUAUAACAAAUGGAAAAUAAUUGUUGACGUAUA